AUGAACGCUGGCGGCGUGCUUAACACAUGCAAGUCGAACGAAGCACUCUAUUUGAUUUUCUUCGGAAAUGAAGAUUUUGUGACUGAGUGGCGGACGGGUGAGUAACGCGUGGGUAACCUGCCUCAUACAGGGGGAUAACAGUUGGAAACGACUGCUAAUACCGCAUAAGCGCACAGGAUUGCAUGAUCCGGUGUGAAAAACUCCGGUGGUAUGAGAUGGACCCGCGUCUGAUUAGCCAGUUGGCAGGGUAACGGCCUACCAAAGCGACGAUCAGUAGCCGACCUGAGAGGGUGACCGGCCACAUUGGGACUGAGACACGGCCCAAACUCCUACGGGAGGCAGCAGUGGGGAAUAUUGCACAAUGGGGGAAACCCUGAUGCAGCGACGCCGCGUGAGCGAAGAAGUAUUUCGGUAUGUAAAGCUCUAUCAGCAGGGAAGAAGAAUGACGGUACCUGACUAAGAAGCACCGGCUAAAUACGUGCCAGCAGCCGCGGUAAUACGUAUGGUGCAAGCGUUAUCCGGAUUUACUGGGUGUAAAGGGAGCGCAGGCGGUGCGGCAAGUCUGAUGUGAAAGCCCGGGGCUCAACCCCGGUACUGCAUUGGAAACUGUCGUACUAGAGUGUCGGAGGGGUAAGUGGAAUUCCUAGUGUAGCGGUGAAAUGCGUAGAUAUUAGGAGGAACACCAGUGGCGAAGGCGGCUUACUGGACGAUAACUGACGCUGAGGCUCGAAAGCGUGGGGAGCAAACAGGAUUAGAUACCCUGGUAGUCCACGCCGUAAACGAUGUCUACUUGGAGGUUGUGGCCUUGAGCCGUGGCUUUCGGAGCUAACGCGUUAAGUAGACCGCCUGGGGAGUACGGUCGCAAGAUUAAAACUCAAAUGAAUUGACGGGGGCCCGCACAAGCGGUGGAGCAUGUGGUUUAAUUCGAAGCAACGCGAAGAACCUUACCUAGACUUGACAUCCCCUGAAUAACGUAGAGAUACGCGAAGCCCUUCGGGGCAGGGAGACAGGUGGUGCAUGGUUGUCGUCAGCUCGUGUCGUGAGAUGUUGGGUUAAGUCCCGCAACGAGCGCAACCCCUGUUCUUAGUAGCCAGCGGUUCGGCCGGGCACUCUAGGGAGACUGCCAGGGAUAACCUGGAGGAAGGCGGGGAUGACGUCAAAUCAUCAUGCCCCUUAUGACUUGGGCUACACACGUGCUACAAUGGCGUAAACAAAGGGAAGCGGAGCCGUGAGGCCGAGCAAAUCUCAAAAAUAACGUCUCAGUUCGGACUGUAGUCUGCAACCCGACUACACGAAGCUGGAAUCGCUAGUAAUCGCAGAUCAGAAUGCUGCGGUGAAUACGUUCCCGGGUCUUGUACACACCGCCCGUCACACCAUGGGAGUCGGAAAUGCCCGAAGUCGGUGACCUAACCGAAAGGAAGGAGCCGCCGAAGGCAGGUCUGAUAACUGGGGUG
rnacentral:rRNA from 1 species